rnacentral:rRNA from 1 species
AGGGAAUCUUCCGCAAUGGACGAAAGUCUGACGGAGCAACGCCGCGUGAGUGAAGAAGGCCUUCGGGUCGUAAAACUCUGUUGCCGGGGAAGAACAAGUGCCGUUCGAACAGGGCGGCGCCUUGACGGUACCCGGCCAGAAAGCCACGGCUAACUACGUGCCAGCAGCCGCGGUAAUACGUAGGUGGCAAGCGUUGUCCGGAAUUAUUGGGCGUAAAGCGCGCGCAGGCGGCUUCUUAAGUCUGAUGUGAAAUCUUGCGGCUCAACCGCAAGCGGUCAUUGGAAACUGGGAGGCUUGAGUGCAGAAGAGGAGAGUGGAAUUCCACGUGUAGCGGUGAAAUGCGUAGAGAUGUGGAGGAACACCAGUGGCGAAGGCGGCUCUCUGGUCUGUAACUGACGCUGAGGCGCGAAAGCGUGGGGAGCAAACAGGA